CUCGAGCCGCAUUUUAUUACCAAUUCCUUUCCCUACGCCUUCCAAAGGCUCCAGCAGGGCCCGCUUCGCCUUGCCACCUCCGCCUCCCGCCGGCGGGCCCUAUGCGGAGCGAGCAGGCGGCCCGGGGGCACCUGCACCGCACGCGGCCCCACCGCAGGCCCGCGGCCCGCUGGGGCAGGAGGAGGCCGCGCUGAGCGCAGCGCAGGGCCCGCUACGAGAUAAGGCCGCACGGGGCCGAGCGCCGAGGAGGGGACCCGACCCCCGGAGGUGGAGGGAAGGCUGAGGCGCGGGGAAAGGCCCCAGCGCGCCGUUACCUGUGGCGCCGAGCAUGAAGUCCAGGGUGCUGUGCCGCGCUGCUGCCAUAGUGAGGAAUCUGCAGAAACGAGAUCUAAUGGGAACAAUACGACGGUGCCACAGCCUGAAAUUCACCUCAGGAACUAAAGUUGAAAACAACAUAUUCCUCACAGACCGCAAAGAAAUAUCUUAUAGGAAGACCUUUAUCCUUGUGUUAUUUUAGAUAGUUCACAGAAGAUUUGUUAGCACUCUUAGGACUACCUGUAUAUCUCACAGCUUUGUCACCUGUCAAUAAAGUGGUCAUCUUGUAAUGCUAAAUGAAGCCUUGAAGUCAAACAUGCUUGUUUAACGUGUACAUACACACAGAAUCUUUCACGUCUGAUUCUUUAUAUUCAAAAUAUUGUUAAUUUAUGCUAAACAGGGGCAUUUGUACAGUACAAGCACAAUGUACAUUUGUACAAACAGCACAAUGUGGUAACAGCC
rnacentral:lncRNA from 1 species